rnacentral:rRNA from 1 species
UACGAAGGGGGCUAGCGUUGCUCGGAAUCACUGGGCGUAAAGCACGCGUAGGCGGCUUGGUAAGUUGGAAGUGAAAUCCCGGGGCUUAACUCCGGAACUGCUUUCAAAACUAUCAAGCUAGAGUAUGGCAGGGGACAGUGGAAUUCCUAGUGUAGAGGUGAAAUUCGUAGAUAUUAGGAGGAACACCAGUGGCGAAAGCGACUGUCUGGACCAUUACUGACGCUGAGGCGUGAAAGCGUGGGGAGCAAACAGG